CCCUUCCCGAUGUUUAUAAAGCUCUGCGCACAAUACAAAACAGCUAUUCUCAAGACUUAGUAAAAGGUGUCACAGGCUCACAACAAGCUUUCAACCUAGCAACUUGACCUCAACUGAUCUCCAGGAUAAAUGUGGCUGACAAAUUCAUGUGAAGAAUUUAAAGGAGAAGCAAAUUCUGCAGUGCAACUGUUGAUCCAAUUCCUAUUGCUGCCUGUGUGGUGUGUUGGACUGGAUGUCCUUUAAAGAUCCAUUCCCACCCAGACCAUUUUGUGAUUUUUUGAUUCUUUAUUAAGUCUGUAGAAAACCUAAUAACCUGUAAAGUGGAAGAGUGAAUCCACCACUGCUGUCCCACAGACACUGCUGACAGCUCAACCUGUCACAUAUCAGAUGCCUCAAGGUGAUAUCCUCACCCUCUCCUUCCAGUUGCUGGAUGAAAAACAGAUUUCUGAAACACUCCUGCAGUUUGUGGUCUCCACUGCACUCAUUUGUACACAAGUCAGCUGGGAUACAGAGAAAAGCAAAUUUCAAGGCGAGGUGUUCCUGCAGAGCUGUCUGCUACAUAUCCUGCACACAGGACACUGGGCAAGUAUUUAAACGUCUCCAUGGAAUUCACUGCUUCAGAAUCCAGCAAACAAUGAAGGACCAUUGGUGA
rnacentral:lncRNA from 1 species